UACGGAGGGAGCUAGCGUUGUUCGGAAUUACUGGGCGUAAAGCGCACGUAGGCGGCUUUUUAAGUCAGGGGUGAAAUCCCGGGGCUCAACCCCGGAACUGCCCUUGAAACUGGGAAGCUAGAAUCUUGGAGAGGUGAGUGGAAUUCCGAGUGUAGAGGUGAAAUUCGUAGAUAUUCGGAAGAACACCAGUGGCGAAGGCGACUCGCUGGACAAGUAUUGACGCUGAGGUGCGAAAGCGUGGGGAGCAAACAGG
rnacentral:rRNA from 1 species